GCGGGUGUAGCUCAGUGGUUAGAGCGCCGGCCUGUCACGCCGGAGGUCGCGGGUUCAAGUCCCGUCAUCCGCGCCA
rnacentral:tRNA from 1 species